rnacentral:rRNA from 1 species
UCGAGAAUCUUCCGCAAUGGACGAAAGUCUGACGGAGCGACGCCGCGUGGUGGAUGAAGUCCUUAGGGACGUAAACACCUUUUAUGAGGGAGGAAGUCUAUUGACGUUACCUCAUGAAUAAGGGGCUCCCAAUUCUGUGCCAGCAGGAGCGGUAAUACAGAAGCCCCGAGCGUUACCCGGAUUUACUGGGCGUAAAGGAUGUGUAGGUGGUGUGAUUAGUCUUGCGUUAAAUCUUUGGGCUUAACCCGGAGGCUGCGUGAGAAACGGUCAUACUCGAGGAAGUGAGAGGUGUGUGGAACUCAAGGUGUAGGGGUGAAAUCCGUUGAUAUCUUGGGGAACACCAAAAGCGAAGGCAACACACUGGCACUCUCCUGACACUGAAACAUGAAAGCGUGGGUAG